rnacentral:lncRNA from 1 species
AACUUUUGAUGCAGCAACUCCACUUCUAAGAAUUUAUUCUGUGGAAAUAAUUUCAAAUGUGCCCAAAGACUUAUUCAAUAUGAUGUGUAUCCCAGUUGAUGUUUAUAAUGUUAAGAAAUUGGAAAUCCUCACUAAGCAACUGAUUGAGUUGAAUACAGUCACAGGAUCCAAUAUGGGACACUGGUGCACACCAGAAGAGUCCUUGCCAGAAAGGGAAGACUGUGAGGUCCAUGAGGCAGAAGAAGCCCUCAGAGGAAUCCCUCCUGCUGGCCUCCGUUGUAAGAGCAUUCAUCACAAUUUGGAAGCACUGUUGUUCUCUCUUAUCCACGGUUUCAGUUAUGCAAGGUCAAUCGCAGUCUGAAAAUAGACACAGGGAUCACAUUUACGAAGGGAUCUUUCAAGAGCCUCAAAAGCAGGACUACUUCAUGAGCCAACUCGUAGUGACAAGCCCUGCCCCUGCAAGUGAGAAGGGGGGCGCUUCCAAAUCAAGCACCAUUUGUCAAGCCUUUCUCUGGAAUGGACCGAAUAUGGAAUAACAUGGACAUGUCUGAUGCACAUCUGGAGAUGGGACGGCAGCGCAUAAUACUUCCUGGAACUGCGAGACAAUGGGGUUGUCUUUUGACAUUGAGGCAGGUUAUUAAAUAGAAGUGUGAACUAUUAAGAGAUGAUCUUGACCCUCAAUACAUUUUUAUCAAAGUCAAAAAAUAUUUGACACCACUGAACAGCUUAUCACAGGCACAAA